AAAGUCGUAACAAGGUUUCCGUAGGUGAACCUGCGGAAGGAUCAUUAAUGAAUAACUUUGGCGUGGUUGUAGCUGGCUCCUCGGAGCAUGUGCACACCCGUCAUCUUUAUCUUUCCACCUGUGCACACUAUGUAGAUCUGGAUAACUCUCGCUCUCUGAGCGGAAACAAGGAUUGCUGCGUCGCAAGGCCAGCUCUCUUUGAAUUUCCAGGUCUAUGUCAUUUACAAACCCCAAUUGUAUGAUGUAGAAUGUCGUCAAUGGGCUCUAAGCCUAUAAAACAAAAUACAACUUUCAGCAACGGAUCUCUUGGCUCUC
rnacentral:misc_RNA from 1 species